rnacentral:rRNA from 1 species
AGACUUUGAUCCUGGCUCAGAAUCAACGCUGGCGGCGUGCCUAACACAUGCAAGUCGUACGAGAAAGGGCACCUUCNGGAGCCUGAGUAAAGUGGCGAACGGGUGAGUAACACGUGGGUGACCUGCCCUUUGGAGGGGGAUAACCCGGGGAAACCCGGGCUNAGACCGCAUAAGCCUUCNAGGUCAAACUCAAAGGGAAAAGGGUCUAGCUUUCNAGCUUGAUCCUACCGAAGGAGGGGCCCGCCGUCCAUUAGCUUGUUGGUGGGGUAAAAGCCUACCAAGGCUACNAUGGGUAGCCCGGUCUGAGAAGACCGACCGCCACACUGGAACUGAGACACNGUCCNACUCCUACCGGAAGCAANCANUGGGGGAAUUUUUNGCAAUGGGCCAAAACCUGACCCACNACCCCCCGUGGANGACNAAAAGCCUUCCGGUNNUAAACUCCUUUCCUNGGGGAAGAAAAAAUGACANUACCCUUUGGAGGAACCCCCGNUUAAUUCCNUGCCACAACCCCGGUAAAACNGGGGGGNCUACCNUUUUUCGAAAUNCU